AUUUUUCAUAAAUCUAAGUAAUCUUUUACAAAAAUCUUCUCCUCUGAAACUACUGGGCCAAAUUGAACCAAACUUGGCCACAAUCAUCAUUCGGGUAUCUAGUUUAAAAAAUGUGUGGCGUGACCUGGUCAACCAACCAAGAUGGCCGCCACGGCUAAAAAUGGAACAUAGGGGUAAAAUGCAGUUUUUGGCUUAUAACUCAAAAACCAAAGCAUUUAGAGGAAAUCUGACGGAGUAAAAAUGUAUGUAUCAGGUCAAGAUCUAUCUGCCCUGAAAUUUUCAGAUGAAUCGGUCAACCCGUUGUUGGGUUGCUGCCCCUGAAUUGGUAAUUUUGAGGAAAUUUUGCUGUUUUUGGUUAUUAUCUUGAAUAUUAUUAUAGAUAGAGAUAAACUGUAAACAGCAAUAAUGUUCAGCAAAGUUAGAUUUACAAAUAAGUCAACAUGACCGAAAUGGUCAGUUGACCCCUUUAGGAGUUAUUGCCCUUUAUAGUCAAUUUUUAACCAUUUUUCAUAAAUCUAAGUAAUCUUUUACAAAAAUCUUCUCCUCUGAAACUACUGGGCCAAAUUGAACCAAACUUGGCCACAAUCAUCACUGGGUUAUUUAGUUUAAAAAAUGUGUGGCGUGACCCGGUCAACGAACCAAGAUGGCCGCCACGGCUAAAAAUAGAACAUAGGGGUAAAAUGCAGUUUUUGGCUUAUAACUCUGAAACCAAAACAUUUAGAGGAAAUAUGACAAGAAGUUAAAUUGUUAAUCAAGUCAAUAUAUAUCUGCCCUGAAAUACUCAAAUGAAUUGGACAACCGGUUGUUGGGUUGCUGCCCUCCAAUUGGUAAUUUUUAAAGAAAUUUUGCCGUUUUUGGUUAUUAUCUUGAAUACUAUUAUAGAUAGCGAUAAACUGUAAACAGCGAUAAUGUUCAGCAAAGUAAGAUCUACAAAUAAGUCAACAUGACCUAAAUGGUCAAUUGACCCCUUAAGGAGUUAUUGCCCUUUAUAGUCAAUUUUUAACAAUUUUCAUUAAUUUGGUAAAUUUAUGUAAAUUUUUACCAAAUAUUUUUCUCUGUUACUAAUGGGCAAAGUUCAUUAUAGAUAUAAUUGUAAGAAGCAAGAACGUUCAGUAAAGUAAGAACUUCAAACACAUCACCAUCACCAAAAUACAAUUUUGUCAUGAAUCCAUUUGUGUCCUUUGUUUAAUAUGCACAUAGACCAAGGUGAGCGACACAGGCUCUUUAGAGCCUCUAGUUUAUAUACCUGAUUGUAA
rnacentral:lncRNA from 1 species